rnacentral:rRNA from 1 species
UGUGUAGGCGGUUUGGUAAGUUAGAAGUGUAAUACCCAGGGCUUAACUCGGGUGCUGCUUCUAAAACUGUCAGACUUGAGUGCAGGAGAGGUAAGUGGAAUUCCUAGUGUAGCGGUGGAAUGCGUAGAUAUUAGGAGGAACAUCAGUGGCGAAGGCGACUUACUGGACUGUAACUGACGCUGAGGCACGAAAGCGUGGGUAGCAAACA